rnacentral:rRNA from 1 species
AUUGAACGCUGGCGGCAUGCCUUACACAUGCAAGUCGGACGGCAGCGCGGGGCAACCUGGCGGCGAGUGGCGAACGGGUGAGUAAUAUAUCGGAACGUACCCUGGAGUGGGGGAUAACGUAGCGAAAGUUACGCUAAUACCGCAUACGAUCCAAGGAUGAAAGCAGGGGACCGCAAGGCCUUGUGCUCCAGGAGCGGCCGAUAUCUGAUUAGCUAGUUGGUGGGGUAAAGCCUACCAAGGCAUCGAUCAGUAGCUGGUCUGAGAGGACGACCAGCCACACUGGAACUGAGACACGGUCCAGACUCUACGGGAGGCAGCAGUGGGAAUUUUGGA